UACGUAGGGGGCUAGCGUUGUCCGGAUUUAUUGGGCGUAAAGAGCGUGUAGGCGGCCAGGUAGGUCCGGUGUGAAAACUCGAGGCUUAACCUCGAGAUGUCAUCGGAAACCAUCUGGCUAGAGUCCGGAAGAGGAAAGUGGAAUUCCUGGUGUAGCGGUGAAAUGCGCAGAUAUCGGGAAGAACACCCGUGGCGAAGGCGGUUCUCUGGGACGGUACUGACGCUGAGACGCGAAAGCGUGGGGAGCGAACAGG
rnacentral:rRNA from 1 species